UCUGUGUAAACGCGGAUGUUUUGUUAACGUGAAACUUUUCAAAAACGCAAAAGAAAAACUUUUCCGUUUUUCAUCGUGUAAACGUGGCUUAAGAUUGAAACAGUUUUGUACAGAACAAUAUCAUUUAUAGAACAUAAAAAUAUAAAAUGAACGGUUCUGCCUUGUAUACCUUCACUGUAAGUGAAUUUUUUAAAUACAAUAUUUGCCAUUUUUCCUUACACACUUAUUAAAUCACAAAUUAAGACGUUUUUACUCCCUUGACUCGGAUUCAUUUGAAUUUUCAACACAUCUACAUUCUUUCCCAAACUAUUAGCAUGAUGUUGUUAGCCUUCUAGUGUCCGUGGGCACGUUGACACUAAUUUGCCAGCUCACACAACCCAUGAACUAAACCUGUUGCUAUGACAAUAAUGUCUGUUUUACGUUUCGAGCAAGCGAGAGUUUAGGACGAUAACGUGCGAGCUAUAGUGACUUUUCUCCGAUUCAAGCCCUUAAUAAAUUCAGGGUUCUCCGAGGUUUUUAUAUAACUUAAACAUAAGUAGACGUUUGCCAUAUUUCUCCCCACACGAAUGAAAAUGAGCUAACAAGCACAGUAUGACUUCAUCAUUAGCUCACCGUCUGCCAGCGAUAACUUGUUUCACACACCAAUUUUUCACAGUCACUCAUCUCGCGGUGGAAGUAAUGAGCGGGUCCGUCGCCAUAGCAACACAGCAGCACCGCUGAGGGCUAAACCUGAGUGAUAUGCUGAGGUAAACUCACACCAGAGAGGUCGGCUAGGCGGCUGGCUCAGCUGGACAGGGUUGGUCACUGGGGUAUCCUGACUUUCAGUAUCCAUGGAGGGCUGCGUGUGUGAUUCAAACAUGGCAGACAGAGCUAGAGACAAAAACACCGCCGUGAGGAAUUCAUCCACCUGCUUGAGGGACAGCGAGUUGUGUAGCGUCUCCAAUGGAUAGAUAGAGGGCACCAGAGUGCAACCUUCAAACCCUGCAGCAGACAUACAAACACAUGGUCCAAAACAUACACC